rnacentral:rRNA from 1 species
AUCGAACGCUGGCGGCAUGCCUUACGCAUGCAAGUCGAACGGCAGCACGGGUGCUUGCACCUGGUGGCGAGUGGCGAACGGGUGAGUAAUAUAUCGGAACGUACCUUAUUGUGGGGGAUAACGCAGCGAAAGCUGUGCUAAUACCGCAUAAUCCCUAAGGGGGAAAGCGGGGGACCGUAAGGCCUCGCGCAAUUAGAGCGGCCGAUACCUGAUUAGCUAGUUGGUGAGGUAAAGGCUCACCAGGGCAACGAUCAGUAGCUGGUCUGAGAGGACAAUCAGCCACACUGGGACUGAGACACGGCCCAGACUCCUACGGGAGGCAGCAGUGGGGAAUUUUGGACAAUGGGGGCAACCCUGAUCCAGCAAUGCCGCGUGAGUGAAGAAGGCCUUCGGGUUGUAAAGCUCUUUUGUCAGGGAAGAAACAGCAGCUCUAACACAGUUUGCGAAUGACGGUACCUGAAGAAUAAGCACCGGCUAACUACGUGCCAGCCGCCGCGGUAA